AGUGAACGCUGGCGGUAGGCCUAACACAUGCAAGUCGAACGGCAGCACAGUAAGAGCUUGCUCUUACGGGUGGCGAGUGGCGGACGGGUGAGGAAUACAUCGGAAUCUACUUUUUCGUGGGGGAUAACGUAGGGAAACUUACGCUAAUACCGCAUACGACCUACGGGUGAAAGCAGGGGAUCUUCGGACCUUGCGCGAUUGAAUGAGCCGAUGUCGGAUUAGCUAGUUGGCGGGGUAAAGGCCCACCAAGGCGACGAUCCGUAGCUGGUCUGAGAGGAUGAUCAGGCAAACUGGAACUGGGGCAAGGUCCAGACUCCUACGGGAGGCAGCAGUGGGGAAUAUUGGACAAUGGGCGCAAGCCUGAUCCAGCCAUACCGCGUGGGUGAAGAAGGCCUUCGGGUUGUAAAGCCCUUUUGUUGGGAAAGAAAAGCAGCAGGUUAAUACCCCGCUGUUCUGACGGUACCCAAAGAAUAAGCACCGGCUAACUUCGUG
rnacentral:rRNA from 1 species